UUGUAAGAAAGCACCAAACUGUCUUCCAAAGUGGCUGUACCAUUCUGCAUUCCCACCAGCAAUGAAUGAAGUUCCCGUUGCUCUACAUCCUCCCAGCAUCUGAUGUUGUCAUUGUUC